rnacentral:lncRNA from 1 species
CGGAAUCAGCAGGAGAACUGCUGCCAGCCCCAAAGAGAAGUCUCUCUCUUUCGGAAAUAAGUCUGCAAAACAAUUUUUUCUCCAUGUCCUGAACUAGACAGCUACAGUUUAUUCGGUAACCACUAGAUGGCACCUGGUAUUUGGCAACCAUAUGCCUUUCUAGGCUUUUUUAAUCUCUUUUUUUUUCACCUGGUUUUGAAGCGAGUACUGCAAUGGGAACCUUUGACAGAGUAAACAUGAAACCGGCCCCAUAUCCUUGAGAUCUCCACUGCCACGGGAUUACAUUUAAAAGUAGUGACCAUCUGCCUAGCAAAAUGUUCAGUAAAACUGCCGUCACCUCUUUGGUGACCUGCGAGGAGGGGACUGUGGCCUGACCUUCCUGCAGCCUUGCUGUGCCUGCAGGCAGGGACACAGGCAGCGGACUUAUCUUCAGGGCAGUUGGGCACCUGCUAUUUCUGUUCAGUGAGGUGGAUCACUGUCAUGUUUACGGUGGUAUUUGAGUUGUCUGUAAAGCUGAAUGGGGAUAACCAUUGUUGUGGGACAUUGUUUGCCUGUGAAACAUCUGGGGGUGUCCAGCUGCUUUGGCGAUGGAGAACUCUGAAGCUGCAGUUCGUAGACAGCGUUAGGAGAGCAAUGCACUGGAUUAGGUACCAUGUUGGAACAAGCGCAAAAUGUGAGUGGAGGAACUAUGUGAUUCUGAUUUCUGAUCUGAUUAAGUCACUUAGUAUUGCCCAUGCUAAUGUUUAUUACAGUAAUGAUCUCUAUAAACCAAAUAUUGCAAGAGACCCCAUUGUGCUAGGCACCGUGAAAGCAGAGAGAAGGCAGCAGCAUCCUCUCAGCUGUUGUUUCCCCAUCUGUCAAGUGAGGACAAUGUGCUUGCUUUAUACAAGUAUAUGAGCACUAGUUAAUUAAUAUUUGUAAAAGGAUAUGUAAAUGUGUAAAUGCUUAGUAUUAUUUAUGAAUUAUAUUAUAAAUGAAGAUUGGUGGAGAGGCUUUGGAGAGAACAGAGAGAUGGCAUUAUGAGAGCACAGAGAGCAGUGCAGAGUGCAAAGAUCAGCUGGGAAACAGAAUAAGGGAAGCAAAGAGAAGUAAGUGGUUUACAAAAGAGAUGUUUUGAUUAACAAAAAGAGGGAAUGCAGAUGAUGUGUGCAAUAUACUUGUAAGUUAAGAAACAAAACAAAACAAAACAAAAAAGCACAGUGAUCUGGAACUGGAUAGAAUAUGAUAGAAAUGGAAACGGUAAUAAAAAAGAAAAGGUGAAAAAAAUAAGCA